AGCAGCCGCGGUAAUUCCAGCUCCAAUAGCGUAUAUUAAAGUUGUUGCAGUUAAAAAGCUCGUAGUUGAAUUUCGGGGUUAGUAGGUUGGUCGUGCCAAUGGUAUGCACUGGCCUCACUGAUUCCUCCUUCUUGAUGAACCUUAAUGCCAUUAAUUUGGUGUUUUGGGGAAUCUGGACUGUUACUUUGAAAAAAUUAGAGUGUUUAAAGCAGGCUCGCGCUUGAAUACAUUAGCAUGGAAUAAUGAAAUAGGACGUUCGAUCCUAUUUUGUUGGUUUCUAGGAUUGACGUAAUGAUUAAUAGGGAUAGUUGGGGGCAUUAGUAUUCAAUUGUCAGAGGUGAAAUUCUUGGAUUUAUUGAAGACUAACUACUGCGAAAGCAUUUGCCAAGGAUGUUUUCAUUAAUCAAGAACGAAAGUUAGGGGAUCGAAGACGAUCAGAUACCGUCGUAGUCUUAACCAUAAACUAUGCCGACUAGGGAUCGGAUGAUGUUAAUUUUUAAUGACUCAUUCGGCGCCUUAA
rnacentral:rRNA from 1 species